AAGGGAAACCGAGUCUUAACCGGGCGUUAAGUUGCAGGGUAUAGACCCGAAACCCGGUGAUCUAGCCAUGGGCAGGUUGAAGGUUGGGUAACACUAACUGGAGGACCGAACCGACUAAUGUUGAAAAAUUAGCGGAUGACCUGUGGCUGGGGGUGAAAGGCCAAUCAAACCGGGAGAUAGCUGGUUCUCCCCGAAAGCUAUUUAGGUAGCGCCUCGUGAAUUCAUCUCCGGGGGUAGAGCACUGUUUCGGCUAGGGGGCCAUCCCGGCUUACCAACCCGAUGCAAACUGCGAAUACCGGAGAAUGUUAUCACGGGAGACACACGGCGGGUGCUAACGUCCGUCGUGAAGAGGGAAACAACCCAGACCGCCAGCUAAGGUCCCAAAGUCAUGGUUAAGUGGGAAACGAUGUGGGAAGGCCCAGACAGCCAGGAUGUUGGCUUAGAAGCAGCCAUCAUUUAAAGAAAGCGUAAUAGCUCACUGGUCGAGUCGGCCUGCGCGGAAGAUGUAACGGGGCUAAACCAU
rnacentral:rRNA from 1 species